rnacentral:rRNA from 1 species
UACGUAGGGGGCAAGCGUUGUUCGGAAUUACUGGGCGUAAAGCGCGCGCAGGCGGUCCUUUAAGUCUGAUGUGAAAGCCCACGGCUCAACCGUGGAGGGUCAUUGGAGACUGGGGGACUUGAGUACAGAAGAGGAAAGCGGAAUUCCACGUGUAGCGGUGAAAUGCGUAGAGAUGUGGAGGAACACCAGUGGCGAAGGCGGCUUUCUGGUCUGUAACUGACGCUGAGGCGCGAAAGCGUGGGGAGCAAACAGG